AAUCCCUACUGGCAACAAGAAAGAUCAUUUCCACUGGGUGCCAAAAGUCUGUGAAUUUUCGGUGUGCACAGGUCUUGCAUGUGGAGACUGGCACGAUACAGCUAAUAAUAGAGGGCCAGUCUCCAAUAAUUGAAGCUACCUACCGCGAUCUGUGGCGAUGAAGUUUUUGCCUCUGCAAGCCUCUUCUUAUUGAGAUCUCUUUCCCCUCUGUGCUGGAGAAAGGGUAAGUCCUUCGCUGAGAUGUGGUCGAGAUGUUGGGAGCCUGGUUGAGAAGGCCUGCGAUUAUGCAGUCCUAUGGGGAACAGCAACGAGUUGGAUCUGAUCUACGCCCGCUAAAGACUUCAUUUUUGUCGAGACGAAGCUCAUCAUCAGCACAGCCGGAAAUAUGUGGAUCAAAGAUGAGAAGAUGAAAGGGAGCCAGGAGUAAUUGCUGAUGCAAUUCAAGGACGUCGCUUAUGAUGCUUGCGAUUUGCUGGACGAGUUCCGCUACCAAAUUCAUUCUGCUACUGAGCGACGAAGAGAUGAGAUCAAGAUGUUUUAAGAUUUGGAUCUGUGUAUCGAGAAUCUGCAAACUUAGAGAAGUGCGACAUUGACAGCCGCAGAUGGAAGAGCCUUUGUAUCAGCCGCAAAUGGGACAGCAAUCUCAUGAAGCCUUCUGCCGUCCAGAUCUGGAUCGCCCCAUGUCUAUAAAAAGAGAAAGAAAUCUUUGGGAAACACGGAUCAAAAAGCUGAACACUUGUCAAGGCACUGAUAGCUCAGCCGCAGCACAGGCAAAAGCUUGUUUGUCUUCGUUCACGACUGAUGACAACAAAGAUUCCGAGGGGUUUUGCUGCAAGUGGACAGCCCUUCAACUUGCCGACGAUCUUUCUACCAAUAAGCUCCAGCUCUGUAUGCUGGUCGUCGGGACUCGGGACCAUCGCAGAAUUUGGUACCGGAACUCGUGCAGUAAGUCAUCGGCAUCAUAAGCGGUGUCCUUGAGUUGCAUCAGCAAUUCCUUCACGUCCCGUUUCAAGUUCUCAUCUUUGAUCCACAUAUUCUCGGCUGUGCUGAUGAUGGUCUGAAUCUUGAGCGGAGUAGCGUAUAGUUGCGAUCAUCUUCGAUCACCUGCACCCCAAACCGUUCAAUUUACGCUGGCUCCCCAUUAAAGUCUUCUCGAGCAAUCUCAAGGCUGUUGAUAAUAUCAACGACAUUUCAGUAAAGAGCUGAUCCUUCUUCCUCCAAACACAAAGCUCAAAGAGAUAUCCAGGAGAGAGAAAAGACAGGUAGCUUCGAUUAGAGGCUGUAUCUCUUUUCACUGGAACUGUGGAACGAUGAUCCCAUGCAAACCUUAUGAAGGUUUACAAAGAAGGAUCGACGACUUUGAAGGAAUCCAUUGAUCUUGUAGCAUAAGAACUUUGAUCUUGUAAACAAAGAAGGAUCGGGUGGGAAUCAACUUUUCCUUCGACUUUUCA